AUCGAAUAUUAGAUUUAAGGUGCCCGGAAGGGAGAAUAGGGAAUCGGAUUAAAAUUCCGAGCGGACCCGCCACUGUAAGGAGGAGCGUGUGCAUCAGCCACUGGAAACGGGAAGGAGCAUAACUGCUGUGAGUCCAAGCCAGGAGACCUGCCUUAAAUCUGUAAACGUA
rnacentral:ncRNA from 2 species